AAAUAGGGUUCUGGUAUACUCGGUUGUAAGGGAAAUGGUGUCAUAAAGGGAAUCAGGAAAAUGCCAUUAAAUGGUUACCAAAAAGGAGAAGAAAGCAUGGAGGAAAGUAUAAAGGCUACGAGUGUGGACCUGAGACAAAGUGGUUGCUACCUGCAAGAAGCUUGGAAGAGUGAGCAGGAAACCUUAGUAAGAGAUGAGGAGGGAAGAGCUGCGGGACCGUUAAACUUCUGAGAAGAGGUGGAAGGAAGAGAUUUGGGGCAAAGACAGAAUACGUUUUCAGGAGAGGCUACUUGGAAAGAUACGAGGAGAUAAGCAUGCUGUUGAUGUCUCGCAUAGCAGAUACAGAAGGACAAGAAGACUGCCAGAAGGUAUUUGUAAUUGAAGGACAAGACGGAUUUUAAGAGAUGAUGGAUCAUUUAGAAGACAUCGUAUCUCAAGUACCAAGCUGUGGAGAACUGGACAAGGAGAUGUUUCUUUCUUUUCCUGCACCUGUGUCUUGCCAACAAACACUAUAUGUGCCAGUUCAUCACAAACUGAUGACAAGGAGGAGCAAGCAAUCGAUGGUCAGGUUGUGACUGCGAUGAAGGCAAUAACAACAGUACUGGAGCAAGAAAUCCCAGAGCAGCUUGACAGACAAAAACUUAUACAUGAGACAGGCAUACCUGCUUUGAAGCAUAUUUUAGAAGAUAUACAGCUGAAAGGACCAGGAAAUGUAACUUUUAAAAUUCUGGUUGUACUCUUUUUGGUUAAAUUAUGGAAAAGGCUGUGA
rnacentral:lncRNA from 1 species